ensembl:snRNA U1 U1 spliceosomal RNA
AUACUUACUUGGCAGGGGAGACACCAUGAUCACGAAGGUGGUUUUCCCAGGGUGAGGCUCAUCCAUUGCACUCCAGGUGUGCUGACCCCUGCAAUUUCCCUAAAUGCAGGAAACUCGACUGCAUAAUUUGUGAUAGUGGGAGACUGCAUUCGUGCUUUUGUCUG